GACGAACGCUGGCGGCAUGCCUAAUACAUGCAAGUCGAGCGAACAGAUGAAGUGCUUGCACUUCUGACGUUAGCGGCGAACGGGUGAGUAACACGUAAGGAAUCUACCUAUAAGCGGGGGAUAACAUUCGGAAACGGGUGCUAAUACCGCAUAAUAUCUUCUUCCGCAUGGAAUAAGAUUGAAAGACGGCUCUGCUGUCACUUAUAGAUGACCUUGCGGUGCAUUAGUUAGCUGGUGGGGUAAUGGCCUACCAAGACGAUGAUGCAUAGCCGACCUGAGAGGGUGAUCGGCCACAUUGGGACUGAGACACGGCCCAAACUCCUACGGGAGGCGGCAGUAGGGAAUCUUCCGCAAUGGGCGAAAGCCUGACGGAGCAAUGCCGCGUGAGUGAAGAAGGCCUUCGGGUCGUAAAACUCUGUUAUAAGAGAAGAACAAAUUGUAGAGUAACUGCUACAGUCUUGACGGUAUCUUAUCAGAAAGCCACGGCUAACUACGUGCCAGCCGCCGCAGUAA
rnacentral:rRNA from 1 species